rnacentral:rRNA from 1 species
GACGAACGCUGGCGGCGUGCUUAACACAUGCAAGUCGAACGGAAAGGCCCUGCUUUUGUGGGGUGCUCGUGUGGCGAACGGGUGAGUAACACGUGAGUAACCUGCCCUUGACUUUGGGAUAACUUUAGGAAACUGGGGCUAUUACCGGAUAGGAGCUCCUGCUGCAUGGUGGGGGUUGGAAAGUUUCGGCGGUUGGGGAUGGACUCGCGGCUUAUCAGCUUGUUGGUGUGGUAGUGACUUACCAAGGCUUUGACGGGUAGCCGGCCUGGGAGGGGUACCGGCCACAUUGGGACUGAGAUACGGCCCAGACUGCUACGGGAGGCAGCAGUGGGGAAUAUUGCACAAUGGGCGGAAGCCAGAUGCAGCAACGCCGCGUGCGUGAUGACGGCCUUCGGGUUGUAAACCGCUUUCGCCUGUGACGAAGCGUGAGUGACGGUAAUGGGUAAAGAAGCACCGGCUAACUACGUG